rnacentral:rRNA from 1 species
UGCCAGCCUCCGCGGUACUCCUGAUGGGGCAAGCGUUGCUCGGAAUUACUGGGCGUAAAGCGAGCGUAGGCGGUUAGUCAAGUUGGUGGUGAAAGCCCAGAGCUCAACUCUGGAACUGCCAUCAAAACUGACUUACUUGAGAUUGGUAGAGGAAAAUGGAAUUCCUAGUGUAGAGGUGAAAUUCGUAGAUAUUGGGAAGAACAUCGGUGGCGAAGGCGAUUUUCUGGGCCAAAUCUGACGCUGAGGUUCGAAAGCGUAGGUAGCAAACAGGAUUAGAUA